GGAGAUUCCAGCCCAGCCUGCCCAGUGUUCAGACUACCUGUUCAGGAGGGUCUCACGUUGUACAGUAGUCUGCACAUUGGUUAGAUCGGGUUUGGCCGAGCA
rnacentral:pre_miRNA from 15 species